UGUCGUAAUUGUGAGUGCAGAGUCAUUGGUGGACAAAGUGCAGACAUUAUCAACUCCGCUACACUUGCGAUAUCCCGGAUUCAAACGCGGGUGCUGUGCAGUGCUGGGCUCGGCAGCUCUGACAAUAUUCAUUAUUAAUCUCGCCCCCUCUCCCCCACGGCUAACACUGCGGUAGGGGCUAACAAUGCGGUAGGGGCUAACAAUGCGGUAGGGGCUAACUCUGGUGCGUCUACCGUAAGCACCACGAGCUUGCCGAACAAGCCGUAACUUCACAGUUCACCUGUGGACUCCCGAUGGGUGUGCCGAGCUCGUAAAAGACUGCUGUAAUAGAAUCCCGAUCUUAACCAGAUCCAUCGCACUGUCCUCAUACGUAACCCCCUUAGCACCAAGCUGAACGCAAAAUCCUCUCGGUAUCAAGUAAGCUUCAUCUGGACAACGCUGCGGAGGACACGUCACUAGAACAGCAGUAACGGACAACGGUCGAGGCCAACGAUGGAGCGACAGUCAAAGGAGCGAACGCGCCCGAGGAGAUUGGAGCUCUGAUGUCAGCCCGCGUGCAGCAGUAGGAGUCUCAGCGCCCCGUCCACAUGAGUCACCGCAUCGCAACGCCGGUCAGCAGCGUCGCCACCGCCGCCGUGCAGAGCCCGAGCAUCGCCACUUGCCAGCGGCCCCGUCCGAUAGAACCGGGGCCACUGGGGCCUCCACCAC